rnacentral:rRNA from 1 species
AGCAGUCGCCGCGGUAAUACAGAGGGUGCGAGCGUUAAUCGGAUUUACUGGGCGUAAAGCGUGCGUAGGCGGCUUUUUAAGUCGGAUGUGAAAUCCCUGAGCUUAACUUAGGAAUUGCAUUCGAUACUGGGAAGCUAGAGUAUGGGAGAGGAUGGUAGAAUUCCAGGUGUAGCGGUGAAAUGCGUAGAGAUCUGGAGGAAUACCGAUGGCGAAGGCAGCCAUCUGGCCUAAUACUGACGCUUAGGUACGAAAGCAUGGGGAGCAAACAGGAUUAGAUACCCCCGUAGUCCCUGUCUCUUAUAC